rnacentral:rRNA from 1 species
GACGAACGCUGGCGGCGUGCCUAACACAUGCAAGUCGAGCGAGAGACUUCGGUCUCUAGCGGCGGACGGGUGAGUAACACGUGGGUAACCUGCCUCAUAGAGGGGGAUAGCCUCCCGAAAGGGAGAUUAAUACCGCAUAAUAUGUCUUGAUCGCAUGAUCAAGACAUUAAAGGAGAAAUCCGCUGUGAGAUGGACCCGCGGCGCAUUAGCUAGUUGGAGAGGUAAAGGCUCACCAAGGCGACGAUGCGUAGCCGACCUGAGAGGGUGAUCGGCCACAUUGGAACUAAGACACGGUCCAGACUCCUACGGGAGGCAGCAGUGGGGAAUAUUGCACAAUGGGGGAAACCCUGAUGCAGCAACGCCGCGUGAGUGAAGAAGGCCUUCGGGUUGUAAAGCUCUGUCAUUGGGGACGAUAAUGACGGUACCCAAUGAGGAAGCCACGGCUAACUACGCGCCAGCAGCCGCCGUAA